GGAAGAUCCAAAUACUGAGCUCGGCGGGAACACCCGGGUUUUGCAGUGGCAGCUAUGCAAAACUGCGUAACCUAGUUUAUUACCCAAGUCUUGUUUCCUCAGCGAGAUUCCAUGAGUAUUGCAGACUCGCGCCAGUUUCUCAUCCCUGCGGAUAAAUGGCCUUGACACCCUCGCUGGGACCGAGUGCCCUGAAUGUGCUUCUCAACCUCUCAUGCACUGUGCACAGGUGGCAGUUAAUGUCUUCAAGAGAACCAACUCCCCAAAGUCUUCUACAUCCAGACAGAUACUUGCAUUUUCUCUUCUUUAAGCCCUUGAGCUCCUGCCAAAAUCUGCUUGAGUCUGUUCAUCUAAGAAGAUGAAGCCUCACCGUAUUUCUACGUAGCAUUUUUGUCGUGAUGCAGGCGUACACAGAGCUGUGGGGAGCACCAUUCUGUCCCAAGAUGGAUAUGGAGAUUGGCUGCCAUCCUGUUCAGCCGGCUCCAGAGCAGACAGGGCUUCACCAUGUAGUUCAGGCUGGCCUUGAACUCACAGUGAUCCUCCUGCUUCAGCCUCCUGAGUGCUGAGAUUACCAGUAUGCAUCACCACUCCUGGCAGUGUAUUACCUUUCCUUGACCAUAACUCUGUUUUGACAUGCUUUCUCGCAUACACAGUCCAUCUAGGAUGAAAGACCAAAUAAAAGAGAUUACUCGAUACUUGUUAUAAAAUAUUAAUCUAGUUCUUAGUUUGGGGGCUGGGGGUUUAGCUCAGUGGUGUACAUGCCUGCCUAGCAAGCAUGAGGUCACGAGUUCAAUCCCCAGUACCAGAAAAAACAAAUAAAUAAGUAAAUCUUAGUUUGAAUAAAAGAGUACGACUGUCUAAACACUUCAUGGUGGUCCUGAUGAGUCCUAAAUCUGCUGUGUUGCUGUAUGAGAAAUAUGAAUUAAAAAGCCCUGUUUGCAUUGUUAUUUGUUUUGCUUUUCAUUUAGGUCAUGACACAGUCGGUGAAGAAGAUACAUUACAAUGUCUAUUUGCUGAAUUUGAUAAAAUGUGCCUGUGGGUUUUUGUGAACUUUAAUAUGCAACUUAUUGCCUAAGAGCCACAGAACUCUUUUUGUUUAACUUAAUAAAAUCCUCUGGAUGCAGGUUAACUUCC